rnacentral:tRNA from 1 species
GCCUUAGCUCAGUUGGUAGAGCAACGGACUGAAAAUCCGUGUGUCCCUGGUUCGAUUCCUGGA